UACGAACUGUGCGAACGUUUAUUCGGAAUCACUGGGCUUACAGGGUGCGUAGGCGGCUCAACAAGUCAGGUGUGAAAGCCCCCGGCUCAACCGGGGAACUGCGCUUGAAACUGUUAGGCUCGAGUCAGCUAGAGGUACACGGAACUUCCAGUGGAGCGGUGAAAUGUGUUGAUAUUGGAAGGAACACCGGAGGCGAAAGCGGUGUACUGGGGCUGGUCUGACGCUGAGGCACGAAAGCCAGGGGAGCGAACGGG
rnacentral:rRNA from 1 species